rnacentral:rRNA from 1 species
GGGCAUCGGGGAAUCUGCUCUUUGCCGACGAGCGGCGGACGGGUGCGUAACACGUAAGAAUCUGCCUGGUAGUGGGGGAUAGCCCGGACAAAUGUGGAUUAAAGCGCCUACGCCCUACGGGGGAAAGGAGGGGACUCUUCUUAACCUUUCGGAUCAGAUGAGCCUGCGUCGGAUUAGCUGGUUGGUGGGGUAAAGGCCUACCAAGGCGACGAUCCGUAACUGGUCUGAAAGGAUGAUUCCCCCCACUGGGACUGAGACACGGCCCAAACUCCUACGGGAGGCAACAAUGGGGAAUAUUGCACAAUGGGCGAAAGCCUGAUGCCUCCCUGCCGCGGGUGUGAAGAAGGCCCUAUGGUUGUAAAGCACUUUCAGUGGGGAGGAAAGGUUGAAGGUUAAUACCCUUCAUCUGUGAAGUUAGCCACAGAAGAACGAACGGCUAACUCCGUGCCAGCCCCCGCGUUAAUACGGAGGGUGCGAGCGUUAAUCGGAAUUACUGGGCGUAAAGCGUGCGUAAGCGGCUACCUAAGUUGGAUGUGAAAGCCCCGGGCUCAUCCUGGUAACUGCAUCAAAUGCUGGGUGGCUGGAGUACGGGAGAGGAGUGAGGAAUUGCCUGUGUACCGUUGAAAUGCGUAUAUAUCGGAAGGAACAUC